rnacentral:rRNA from 1 species
AGAGUUUGAUCCUGGCUCAGGAUGAACGCUAGCUACAGGCUUAACACAUGCAAGUCGAGGGGCAGCAUUGGAGUAGCAAUACUCAGAUGGCGACCGGCGCACGGGUGAGUAACACGUAUCCAACCUGCCGCUUACUCGGGGAUAGCCUUUCGAAAGAAAGAUUAAUACCCGAUGGUAUAAAGAGUUCGCAUGUUCUCUUUAUUAAAGAAUUUCGGUAAGCGAUGGGGAUGCGUUCCAUUAGAUAGUUGGCGGGGUAACGGCCCACCAAGUCUACGAUGGAUAGGGGUUCUGAGAGGAAGGCCCCCCACAUUGGAACUGAGACACGGUCCAAACUCCUACGGGAGGCAGCAGUGAGGAAUAUUGGUCAAUGGACGAGAGUCUGAACCAGCCAAAGUAGCGUGAAGGAUGACUGCCCUAUGGGUUGUAAACUUCUUUUAUAAGGGAAUAAAGUGAGGGACGUGUCCCUUUUUGUAUGUACCUUAUGAAUAAGGAUCGGCUAACUCCGUGCCAGCCGCCGC